GGGUUGGGAGAACCGAGGGCUGCUCUGCACACUGCCCUCGCCCUCUUCGCCUCCUACCUCCUCCGCACGCGCGCGCGCGCGUGCGGGGAAGACGCGCGUCGCUGGGGUGGAGACCCUCAAAAUUUCCAGAAAACUUUCGCCCGGCGAGUAGCAAAAAAGGUGCAGAUCUUUCGUCGACGUCUGAGACCGGGGGUAAACAUAACCUCUCCGCGGCGUGCGCCACAUUUUCGCAAUGGAACUGGCUCGCUCCGGAGUGAAAGAAGACUCGGGUGAUUCACUUUUGUCAGAAAGUCCAAGCAUGAAGAAACGAAGAAACCAUCGGGGAUUCUACUGCAAUCGCCUCUACUGCGAUCGAUGUGUACGGCAACAAGGCGCCGUGGGCAGAGAGAGAGAAAAUGCCACUCUUGCUGCUGUGAUUUAAUUUUUAUGGGAAGACGCCGUUGCUGCUGCCGACAGAUGGCGCCACGUACAAAUGUCCCAAAAUCCUGGGAAUGUUCAGCUUCAGCAUCAAACCCUUACGUCACCCAUGCAGGGAUUACACGGAAACAUACUGGCCUCAAAAAGACCAUCGGUACAGGCAACUGCGGGAGUGAUAUAAGUUUCUGCCUCUCGGCUAGAAUAAACAGCAGCUGCGCCAGUAUACUCCGCAGGUUUCAUCUGAUCGUUGCUGGCGCCACUGGCACCUUUUCAAUGGUGCGUACAACCUGAACUGUGAGCGCUAUCUAGUGUAUUAGAC